AAGUUAAUUAUUAGGUUGGUGCAAAAGUAAUUGUGUUUUUUUUUGUCAUUUAAAAAAAAAUGGCAAAAACCACAAUUACUUUUGCACCAAUCUAAUA
rnacentral:miRNA from 10 species